CCCCGGUAAACGGCGGCCGUAACUAUAACGGUCCUAAGGUAGCGAAAUUCCUUGUCGGGUAAGUUCCGACCUGCACGAAUGGCGUAAUGAUGGCCAGGCUGUCUCCACCCGAGACUCAGUGAAAUUGAACUCGCUGUGAAGAUGCAGUGUACCCGCGGCAAGACGGAAAGACCCCGUGAACCUUUACUAUAGCUUGACACUGAACAUUGAGCCUUGAUGUGUAGGAUAGGUGGGAGGCUUUGAAGUGUGGACGCCAGUCUGCAUGGAGCCGACCUUGAAAUACCACCCUUUAAUGUUUGAUGUUCUAACGUGGACCCGUAAUCCGGGUUGCGGACAGUGUCUGGUGGGUAGUUUGACUGGGGCGGUCUCCUCCUAAAGAGUAACGGAGGAGCACGAAGGUUGGCUAAUCCUGGUCGGACAUCAGGAGGUUAGUGCAAUGGCAUAAGCCAGCUUGACUGCGAGCGUGACGGCGCGAGCAGGUGCGAAAGCAGGUCAUAGUGAUCCGGUGGUUCUGAAUGGAAGGGCCAUCGCUCAACGGAUAAAAGGUACUCCGGGGAUAACAGGCUGAUACCGCCCAAGAGUUCAUAUCGACGGCGGUGUUUGGCACCUCGAUGUCGGCUCAUC
rnacentral:rRNA from 2 species